GACGAACGCUGGCGGCGUGCUUAACACAUGCAAGUCGAACGGAAAGGCCUCUUUCGGGGGGUACUCGAGUGGCGAACGGGUGGGUAACACGUGAGUAACCUGCCCUUGACUUUGGGAUAACUUCAGUAAACUGGGGCUAAUACCGGAUAGGAGCUCCUGCUGCAUGGUGGGGGUUGGAGAGUUUCGGCGGUUGGGGAUGGACUCGCGGCUUAUCGGCUUGUUGGUGGGGUAGUGGCUUACCAAGGCUUUGACGGGUAGCCGGACAGAGAGGGUGAGACGCGACACUGAGACCGACGGAAGGCACAAGUUCCUACGGGUGGCCGCAGUGGGGAAUCCUGAACGAUGGGUGCCAGCCUGAUGAAGAAGGGCUGUGUGUGGGAAGACGGCCUUCGGGUUGUAAAACGCUUUCGCUCAUAACGAAGCUUUGUGUGACGGUAGUGAGUAAAGAAGCACCGGCUAACUACGUG
rnacentral:rRNA from 1 species